rnacentral:rRNA from 1 species
GACGAACGCUGGCGGCGUGCCUAAUACAUGCAAGUUGAGCGAUGAAGAUUGGUGCUUGCACCAAUUUGAAGAGCAGCGAACGGGUGAGUAACGCGUGGGGAAUCUGCCUUUGAGCGGGGGACAACAUUUGGAAACGAAUGCUAAUACCGCAUAACAACUUUAAACAUAAGUUUUAAGUUUGAAAGAUGCAAUUGCAUCACUCAAAGAUGAUCCCGCGUUGUAUUAGCUAGUUGGUGAGGUAAAGGCUCACCGAGGCGAUGAUACAUAGCCGACCUGAGAGGGUGAUCGGCCACAUUGGGACUGAGACACGGCCCAAACUCCUACGGGAGGCAGCAGUAGGGAAUCUUCGGCAAUGGACGAAAGUCUGGCCGAGCAACGCCGCGUGAGUGAAGAAGGGUUUCGGAUCGUAAAACUCUGUUGGUAGAGAAGAACGUUGGUGAGAGUGGAAAGCUCAUCAAGUGACGGUAACUACCCAGAAAGGGACGGCUAACUACGUG